UACGUAGGUGGCAAGCGUUGUCCGGAAUUAUUGGGCGUAAAGCGCGCGCAGGCGGCCUCUUAAGUCUGAUGUGAAAACCCCCCGGCUCAACCGGGGAGGGCCAUUGGAAACUGGGAGGCUUGAGUAUAGGAGAGGAGAGUGGAAUUCCACGUGUAGCGGUGAAAAUGCGUAGAGAUGUGGAGGAACACCAGUGGCGAAGGCGACUCUUUGGCCUAUAACUGACGCUGAGGCGCGAAAGCGUGGGGAGCAAACAGG
rnacentral:rRNA from 1 species